AUUGAACGCUGGCGGCAUGCCUUACACAUGCAAGUCGAACGGUAACGGGUCCUUCGGGAUGCCGACGAGUGGCGAACGGGUGAGUAAUAUAUCGGAACGUGCCCAGUAGUGGGGGAUAACUGCUCGAAAGAGCAGCUAAUACCGCAUACGACCUGAGGGUGAAAGGGGGGGAUCGCAAGACCUCUCGCUAUUGGAGCGGCCGAUAUCAGAUUAGCUAGUUGGUGGGGUAAAGGCGUAACAAGGCAACGAUCUGUAGUUGGUCUGAGAGGACGAACAGCCACACUGUGACUGAGACCCGGCCCAGACUCCUACGGGAGGCAGCAGUGGGGAAUUUUGGGCAAUGGGGGCAAGCCUGAUCCAGCAAUGCCGCGUGCAGGAAGAAGGCCUUCGGGUUGUAAACUGCUUUUGUCAGGGAAGAAAUCUUCUGGGCUAAUACCCCGGGAGGAUGACGGUACCUGAAGAAUAAGCACCGGCUAACUACGUGCCAGCCGCCGCGGUAA
rnacentral:rRNA from 1 species